CAGCCGCCGCGGGAAUACGUAGGGUGCGAGCGUUAAUCGGAAUUACUGGGCGUAAAGCGUGCGCAGGCGGUUAUAUAAGACAGAUGUGAAAUCCCCGGGUUCAACCUGGGACCUGCAUUUGUGACUGUAUAGCUAGAGUACGGUAGAGGGGGAUGGAAUUCCGCGUGUAGCAGUGAAAUGCGUAGAUAUGCGGAGGAACACCGAUGGCGAAGGCAAUCCCCUGGACCUGUACUGACGCUCAUGCACGAAAGCGUGGGGAGCAAACAGGAUUAGAUACCCGAGUAGUCCCUGUCUCUUAUAC
rnacentral:rRNA from 1 species